GUGGGGAAUAUUGGGCAAUGGGCGGAAGCCUGACCCAGCGACGCCGCGUGGGGGAAGAAGUCUUUCGGGAUGUAAACCCUUGUUGUACGGGACGAAGGAAGUGACGGUACCGUACGAGGAAGCCCCGGCAAACUACGUGCCAGCAGCCGCGGUAAUACGUAGGGGGCGAGCGUUGUCCGGAAUCACUGGGCGUAAAGCGCACGUAGGCGGGCGGUCAAGUCGGCCGUGAAAGGCACGGGCUCGACCUGUGCAUGUCGGUCGAUACUGGCGGUCUGGAGUCUGGGAGAGGGAACUGGAAUUCCCGAUGUAGCGGUGAAAUGCGUAGAUAUCGGGAGGAACACCAGUGGCGAAGGCGGGUUCCUGGCCCAUGACUGACGCUGAGGUGCGAAAGCCGGGGGAGCGAACGGGAUUAGAAACCCUUGUAGUCC
rnacentral:rRNA from 1 species